GAGUCUCCUUCUUGCAAGUGCUUUUUCUUCUCCUUUUCCUUGGCAUACAGCCCUGCUACUGCAGGUUUCACAGUCAGAGACGAAGCACAAUAUCUGAGUUGAACACAAAGAACGUAUCUUUUAAAAAUCUUGACUUGGAGGAAAUCUGUAUCCUCGGAUACCUCCCUCCUGUCCUUGCUACAUGUACAGAGCCCAGCACCAUACUUAGCACAGCACUGCCUGUAGGCUGAAGGACCCCAGCCAGGAAAACUGGGCUAAGAUGGCAGCAUACACAGUGCACACAUAGGCAGGUAGAGACCCUCGCUUUAGGACGAUACCUGUUUUACAGGAUCAUUGUGUAGCUAAGCUUUUAAAAUGUGUGCCAAUAAAAAUGAUAGGAAAUGCUCUUUUAGUUAACUCAGGAUAUCUUUCAUUUUUCUGUUGUGCCACUUGUGUCAUCUGAGUUAUUGCUUACCAUUAUUAAGGGACUUCAGGGUGGUCAGUGAGGUGCAUACGUAUCUCUCAGACAUUUGAGGUGAAAUGCUUCAGGAAUAAAGAAAAUGUCUGCAGUAAAAGCAAAGGGCUAGAAUGAGUUACAGUGACUGAUGUGUUUAUUUCAAAAGCCAAGGGAAUGUGAGUGGUCAAUUAGUACAUAUGGCAAAUAUAUUCAAAGAACAAAACCCAGCAACUAAAAGAGACUGUUAGCAUUGUAGUCAUCGUGAUUCCUAGAGUGUCUGCGUAUUUAAAAUGUUUAUUAAAUCACUGCUCUUUUAUCCCUCUAAAUGCCGAUUUCAAAGAAAUAUCUGGGCAUUGUUGACUUUCUGUCCAUAGAAAAACCCACCAAGAUUCAUAAAAUACAUCACCUGCAUAUGUGUUUUUUAAAUACCCAUGAGAUGUGAAACAAUUAGGCAGAGAACUGCAUUGUGGUUUCUUCUACACUCCUUUCCCCCUUUUAGAUCCUUUUAGAAAGUAUGAUACCUGAUCUCUGUGUCUAGCAGGCUGAGGGUUUUUUGUAUUUGUAUAAUAUAAUGUCUGGCCUUGCCUCUGACCUGGUGGUGUAUUUUUGGUCUCAUUAGUAGUCAGGGAGAUGCCUUAGUGCAUCCGGUGCUGCGAGUCAAAGAUGAGAAACACUACAACAGUGAGAGGGAGAGUGCACGAGAGGAUAUUAGGAGAGAGGCUUGUCUCCAAGAUAUGGAAGGUUGUGAGAAAUGACAGGACUGCAAGCUUUGUAUGUAGGAGCCUUGCAGGGCGGGGGAGUGCAAGGUGAGCCAAGUGGCUUCUCAGAAAAGGAGGAAGGCCAUAGAGGAGGUAAAGGUGAUUAGAGGGGGAUAUUGAUUCCGUAUUCUGCCAGAGGUUUAAGCAGGCAUGCUAGGAAUCCGCACCAUGGCUGGCAAAGGAGACCGCUGCCUCCUGUAACCAGACACGCAGGCUCUCCAGGAGCCUGGGGAGAGAGCCGAGAAGAAAGGGGGCAGUGUGGUCUAGGAAAAUUCAACUUGUCGCUGAUUUGUGCCUGAUGCUUGCUGUCCGUCAGCAGCCUCCCUUACAUUCUUUUUUUCUCUCCCUUUUUUUCUUGCCUUCUCCCUCUUCACUGAAGCCUAGGGGAGCCAGUAAAGAUUAAAUGUGCUUUCUCAAAGGCAGCCACUUCAUGCUGCUAUAUCAAAAGGGCCAUUAUUAUUUUUAUUUUUAAUAGUAAAAGAAAACGGGGGAGAGGUAGGCUGGGGUUGGGGAGAGACAGACUAGGUAGGAUGGUGACGGACUAGCCUUCCUGAGAGGAAAAGGAAAAGGGAAGGGAAAGAAAAAGGAGAGACCCUGAACUGAGCUGAGGAUUGUGCCUGAGAAGAAUCCACCGAGGAGCCAGCGGUCUUCACGUAGAAAAGCUCAGCGUCCAGGCGGAUGGGGGAAGCGACCAUCAGGUACUUUACCCGUUGCUGCCUUCGAAGAUGGAGGGGAACUAUGCUUCAGAUUCCCCCGAAAUAUUGGCAAAAUGCUACCCAGGCCGGUGGCGGGCGAGGCGGGGAGUGCGGUCUCCGCGUGCCCCCACCCUCCCAGCUUCGCGUCUGAGGAAUGACAGCCCGGGGCUGGCUCCGUCCAGGACUUGGCCUUGGCCUCCGCGGAGCAGCUGAUGCCCGGGAGGCCCGAGUGCAGGACUGGCCAAGUGCACUCGAAAGAAGAGGACGAAUAUUUUUUAAAGCAUCUCUGGGAGGUUUUUCAUUCUUUAGUUAAAAUAAAAAUAAUGACUGCAUAUUCUCCAUAUCUGAUCAGUCCCAGUCCUUCCUUCCACUCCCACUACAACUGCCCUUUUUCUUCCCUCUCUGGUCGAAGCCUAAGGGCAGCAUCGCGCUCCCCAGAUUCUGCGGGCCUCUGCGGCCCCCGCCCCCGCCCUCGCCCUCGCCCUCGCCCGCCCGCGCUCGCGCCCGCGCCCGGCUGCAACGCCGCGCCCAAGCUAGUGCCCAGAGCUCGCGCUCCCGGCUUGGACGGUGCGACCGAGGCGGCAGCCCGCUCCUCUUCCAGCCGGCUGGUCCUUUAGCCUCCCCCAGGAAUGUCUCCCCAGUGAAAGGGCAGAGACUGAGGUAAGAGCUGCACCAGUGGAUGCUCCAGCCAGCGCUGAAGGUCAAACACAGUCAUCACCUGAAGACCCCUCUCCUGCUCAGCAACACACCCAGAUGCAGUUCCAGCCCCUAGAACUCUCACAACAAUGUUUUUUUUUUCCAAGAAACAGAGAAACUUAAUAGUGUCAUCUAGACUUUUAAUGAGCCAAAGACUCUUCCUUCCUCAUUUGUAUUCCUCUGCUUGCAUUUAAAUUUAGUGUGAUAUCAUUUAAGAAAAAUCUUCCUAAUAUAAGUAUGCUUAUUAAUCAUCAAUUUUUGAAAUGGAAAAUUGCACAAAUGUGUUAAUGUUUUAAGGAUCAAAAUUAAUGCUAGAAGUAAAUUAAUUUUUAGCCACAGAAUUUGACCUUAAGAGUGACCUAAGGACUAUAAAGCACUCUUGAAAUAAAGCGGUCAGAGGCAAUCCGAAAGAUGAAGUACUGGUGGAAAAUUAUAGAGCAGUGUAAAGAUAUCACAUUAUACCAUGUGACACCAACCCAUCAACCAUUCUUUUAAUAGGCAAGCUAGAUUCUGUGAGAUAUAGUCACUGCCUCUAAAGAGUUUAAAUCUAGACAGAUGAGGCACAUAAACUUUUGAAAAGGUAAGUAACAAAUUGGGUCAAUAGAUGAAAAGACCAAAACCAAAACAAAAUAAAUGAUUUGAAUAAGGAUCUCAGAAGAGGUCAGCAUAAGCUGGAUAAUACAGGUCUGUUUAGGGAAGAGAGUUUCCCUAAGGAUGAAAUUAUAAGCUUAAUCUUAAAGGAUGUUUAAAAAUUAGAUAAAUGGAAAGAAAGGAGAAAAUGGAGCCUUUUUUUUAGAGAUUUUAUUUAUUUAUUUUUAGAGCGAGAGGAAGGGAGGGAGAGAGUGAGGGAAAGAAACAUUACUGUGUGGUUGUCUCUCAUGUGCCCUCCACUGGGGACCUGGCCUGCAACCCAGGCAUGUGCCCUGACUGGAAAUCGAACAAGUGACCUUUUAGUUAGGCCAGCACUCAGUCCACUGAGCCACACCAGUCAGGGCUGGAGUCUUUUAGAUAGAGGUGUUAUUAUGUGGGCAAAGCCAUGGAGGGAGUAAUCUACAGGGUAAGUUUAGGGGAUUCUGAAUAUACACAUCUAGUUGACUUCCCUCCAGACACUUAAUGCCAAUGUGUAUACAUAUAUGGUAAAGAUUCCCCAUGUACACAUCCCUCUGUCACACCAGGUGUGGCCUGGAAUCAUAAUUUUAUUUCCUUGCCAUUAAAGCAAGUGAGAAAGACUGGCAGUAAUAUAUGAACUUAUAAUUUUUCUGUUAAAUUAAUAAUAGUUGGUAUUUACUGAAUCAUCACUAUAUGUUGAACAUUUUAUAUAUUAACUCAAACCUCACAACAAUCCUGCAAAACAAGUGUUAUAUCCAUUUUAUAGAUGAGAAAACUGAGGUUUAAUGAGAUUAAGAACUUGCCCAACUACCAUAUACAGAGACACAUUCAGAAUUGCAAUUGCAAAGCUCAUGAUCUAAGGCAACGUUUUUCAACCCAUGUGCCACAGGAGUUUUUCAAACAUGCAACACCUGUCUUGUUUAGUUAGGGGCACUGACCUCUUCUCCCUUAGAUGGUCAAAUAAAAAGAAAUGACAGCAGCCAACACAAUAGCCAUCUCGUGUGAAUGAAUCAAAAUUACACCUUUUUUUGUCAGAUUAGCAAAAAAAUUAUUUUUUGGAGUGCUGCAGAAUUUUAGUAAUUAGUUUAUAUGUGCCAUGAGAUGAAAAAGGUUAAAAAUUGCUGAUCUAAGGCAUCAAGUUGCAAUAUUGCAAUCAUUAUAGUACCACUUCUGUAUUGCCUGAUGUUUUUUUGUGGUAAACAAAGAGCUCUUUCAUUUAAUUAUCUCCUCAAAUUUCUCAGAUUUCUGGUUAAAUUACCCUAGAAUGAUAGAAUGUAUUUUCCUCAUAGAAAAUGGAAAAUAUCAAGGAAUAGAGAUUAUCAGCAUUUUAGGCUUUUUUUUUUGACAGACUUUGAUGACAUUCUUCAGUUUGGUCUUCAUGAAGUCUCAAAUUCUUGAAAAGUAAACAAUGGGAUGAGGGAGCAUAAGGGUUAUCUAAUGCAAUGACUUCUUCUAGAGAUGAGAUAAAUUCAUGAAGUUAAGGUGACUUAUGGAGAGUACACAUGUGAGUGUGGCUGAGUUAGUUCCAGAGACCAGAUCCUUUGGUCUAACCUCAGAGGCUCUUGAACUACUUCACCUUGCCUAAAUAAACCAUGAUCUUGAAUUUGAUCAGUCAAAACAUUUUAUCUGGGUGAUCUGCGAGUGUUGUACCUAGUAGAUUGCUUUAAUUUUGGGUCUCUUUGGUUUGCUGUGUUAAUGUGAAAAAUAGCUGGCUGUGAAAUAAUAUCUGUAGAUCCAUAAAUUUUCAUGGCCCAUCUCCCCAAAACACACAAUGGCCCAAGAUGUUUUGUACCAUGUCUUCAAUGAUAUUCUUAAUUUGUUUGGAAUUCUUAGUUCAACUAAACAAAUAAGAUCUCCUGAGUAUUUUCUUAACCCAUUUUUGUGCACAAUAUGUAUUUAUAAGUGCUUAUGCAUGAAUAUUUGUACAUGACUAUUUUAAUCAUUCUUAUAUUUUUGAAAAUAUCAAUGGUUAUUUGUUGUUUAAUCAUCACUUAUCCAUGGAUCAACUCAAGAAUACUUCAACCAUAGAAAACUAGAUCUGAGGAAACCUCACUCUUCUUUACCAGCCCCUUUACAUUUAGUUGGUAUGUAGUGAAGACUGAUAACAUGGUCAGCUGGAGAACACAGAGAUUCAAAACACACUUCUGUCCUGAAGGAGUCCGUGAAGCUGGGUUUCCUUCAGAACAAACAACUGGACACCUGGAUGUGCCUGAUACUGAGUGUUGUCCAUUUCCACUUAGACUUCUGGCACUGUCAGACUUGGGUUUCCUCAUGGCCUGGUUGUCAGGGUUCAGCGUGAUCAUUGGCCAUAUCUCACACAGUUCUGAUUAAGUGAGUUCAUAAAGCAGGUUUUUUUUAAAUCUAAGCACAAAAUGUGACUUUGUUGACAUUUUAUGAAACUUUGUUGUAUGUCUUCUGAACCCCCAAUAAAAGCAAUAUUGCAUCAGCUGUGAA